rnacentral:misc_RNA from 1 species
UUGUUUGUUUACAAUCAAUGGACGUUCAUGACACAGAUGUUUUGCAAAAGCGGCGCGAGCGCCGACGGUUCACAGGUGUUUGUGGAUUGUGGGUUAGGCCGAAGCCAAGUUCACUAAUGAUCCUUCCGCAGGUUCACCUACGGAAA